rnacentral:rRNA from 1 species
CCUAUGGGGCGCAGCAGGCGCGAAAACUUUACAAUGCGGGCAACCGUGAUAAGGAAACCCCGAGUGCCAGCACAGGCUGGCUGUCCACCAGUGUAAAAAACUGGUGAAGAAAGGGCCGGGCAAGACCGGUGCCAGCCGCCGGUAUUACCGCGGCGGCUCGAGUGGUGGCCGCUUUUACUGGGCUUAAAGGGUCCGUAGCUGGAUUCACAAGUCCCUUGAGAAAUCUAUCGGCUUAACUGAUAGGCGUUCAGGGGAUACUGUGGUUCUAGGGACCGGGAGAGGUGAGAGGUACUGCCGGGGUAGGAGUGAAAUCCUGUAAUCCCGGUGGGACGACCUAUGGCGAAGGCAUCUCACCAGAACGGCUCCGACAGUGAGGGACGAAAGCUGGGGGAGCAAACCGGAUUAGAUACCCUCGUAGUCC